UAUUAAUGCAUAAUGUCAUUUCUGGAACUCUUCCAACAGUUAUGGGUCACAAUGACAAUAUGCCACUCCAUUGGCUGAGCACUUGUUUGCAACAAUGAGCUACACAUGUUGGCCAAUACUGCCACAAUUUAACGCUUCUGUUCCUCUUGGCACAUCUGAAUGGGUGGCAUCUGGUCCAAAUUUUGGGUCCCUUUGAGGAUGCGUGAUAGGUAACUCUCAUCUGGAUAGCAGAGACACUUGACCAGCCAAUUACGUAUUCUGGAAUCCAGGAAGUUUAUGUAGGGAGCUUAAACGGAAGAUGCGUCUGAGAAACUCCCAUCAAGAGCACAUCCCAGCUUUUCAACGAUUGUAUAAGCCAGCGUUUGUUAAGUGCUUCCUCUGUCCCAGGAACUCUUUCAAGUGUUUUACGUGUAGUAACUCUUUUCAUAUAUGACCAUCUUAUGAAAUCCCCAAAAACCAAAAAUGUGACACACACCUUAUAGUUCCCAACUUGCAAGAACAUACAUGCAGAAUAGAAGGAGAAGCCCUCAGGCUGUUUUAAUGUUGAUUAUCUACACUCAGCUGCAAUUCUUGCAAGAACUCUUGAGACUGACCUAGUUCUCAAGGUGUUCCGCUGGUGAAAGAGGACACAUCUCUUAGAUCAGGCUGUCACACGAUGGAAAUAAUCACCAACAGAUGGUGAUAAUCUGUUACCAGUCUAAUGGAGAUCCCUGAAGAUAUGCUGGGCAAUGAAGUUUUCACUAAGGACACUUGCUACUAAAGUAUAAAGUGAAUAAACAGAACAUCCGGUACAGCUGGAAGGGAAGCUGCUUCUGAUUAGAGAGGAGGAAUACACAGCCAGCUUAAGCUCCAGUGGCAGAAAUCACUCUACAUCAAUUUCUGUAUCUACUCUUGACUUUUAGCCUUGUUGACUAUUCAACCACUUACCCUACUGUUCCCUGAGCAUCAGAUGUACUUAGUGACAGCUGUUGGAUCAAACACACCUAAAGCAUGUGGACACACACACCCUGGCCUGUCUGGGAGAAUUCAUGUUCUUUAUUUUUGGGGUUUAGACAGGGAGCAAGGGUCAAGACUGUUCAGAAUUUAUUUAUUUGCUCAUCCUUAUGGUAGGAUGUAUAACCUGGAUGUUAUUAAGAUAUGGGAGAUUUUUAAAGAGGCUUUUUAUUUGUAUGGUUUCUUCAGACUUAGUCAGCUAAUGCCUGUUAUGGACAAUAGUAAAUGUCACUUAAUUAAAAAAUCACAAACUAAUAAUGCUGUAUAUAAACUUGCUACUCGAAGUGUGGUCCACAGACCAGCAGUAUCAGCGUCAUCUGGGAACUCAUUAAAAUUACAGAAUUUCAGCCCCACCUCAGACACACUGAAUUGGAAUCUGCAUUUUUUCAAGAUUUUCAGUUCACACGUAGGCACAUUAAAAUUUGAGAAGCAUUCCCCUGACUCUAUAGUAUCU
rnacentral:lncRNA from 1 species